AUUGAACGCUGGCGGCAGGCCUAACACAUGCAAGUCGAGCGGAUGAAGGGAGAUUGCUCCUGGAUUCAGCGGCGGACGGGUGAGUAAUGCCUAGGAAUCUGCCUGGCAGUGGGGGAUAACGUCCGGAAACGGGCGCUAAUACCGCAUAAGUCCUGAGGGAGAAAGUGGGGGAUCUUCGGACCUCACGCUAUCAGAUGAGCCUAGGUCGGAUUAGCUAGUUGGUGGGGUAAAGGCCUACCAAGGCGACGAUCCGUAACUGGUCUGAGAGGAUGAUCAGUCACACUGGAACUGAGACACGGUCCAGACUCCUACGGGAGGCAGCAGUGGGGAAUAUUGGACAAUGGGCGAAAGCCUGAUCCAGCCAUGCCGCGUGUGUGAAGAAGGUCUUCGGAUUGUAAAGCACUUUAAGUUGGGAGGAAGGGCAGUAAGUUAAUACCUUGCUGUUUUGACGUUACCAACAGAAUAAGCACCGGCUAACUUCGUG
rnacentral:rRNA from 1 species